CUUGGUGAAGAUACGCGGACGACUUUCACCGUCUAUAUCACGCCUGGAUUUUUGUUGAUUUAAAUGUGGGGCUCUGAGACACGCUCUUGGUUAUAUCAGUAGCAGUAUCUUUGAGAAAGGACAGAGACAGAGACAGGGAGAAAAGAAGAACGACGAAAGGAAAUAUUUUGUAAUUAAAACGAUUCAUGGCAAAAGUCGUACGAGUACUAACAAAUUGCAUAAUAUUAAGGUAAUGUCAUAAUAUGAACGAGUGUUUUUAUGACUCCAAAAAAAAAAAAAAGGAAAAAAAAGAAAAAGAAAAAAAUUAUAAGAAAUGAAAUGAAACGAUGGAUGUAAAAAAGCAAAGAACAAUGUUCUCUUGAAAAAUAUAAAGAAAAGUAGUGAGUGAUCAUUUAAAUAUAUAACGAAAAGGAAUUGUACAAUAUGAAGGAUCAAAAAAAGCCUGGAAAGAUUGCGAGAGGAGAGAAAUAUAACAAAGAAAAAAAAAAAAAAGGAAAAGAAAUAAAAAGAGAAAAGUUUGAGGGCAAAGAGAAGAAGAUAGCUUUCUCACGAUGAGAGAACGCCAAACGAAAUUAUUAUUAUCGGCAGGUACAACAAUACAUCUGGACAAAGAGGCCUUCUUGAAAAUGAAGGGAAAAAGAAAAGAAAAGAAAAGAAAAGAAGACAGAAAGAAGGAUAUUGAUGGUUCAGAAAUCUGUAGUAAUAAAAAUAAAGACAAAAGGAUAGUAAGGGCAUGAGAAAGAAAACGAAUGGAAUGAAACUGUUAUAGCUACUGUCAUAUGAUUCCACCAUGGGAAUUUAGAAACCGGAUCGAGCAAAGCAACCUAGUCUCUCACAUAGCAACAAGGAAACCUCUUAAAGAAUUUCCAUCAUGGUUUCUCUAUGUCCGAGUCCGUAAUUCUAUGUAGAGUUCAGUUGAGUUGGGAAAAAUCGCACGCCAAAUUUCUAGACUUCUAUGGUUUUAUGAUACAAGACAGAUUGAAGAUAGAAGAAAAGAAAAAAGAAAAGAAAACAAAAAUUAGCCUAAAAUAUCACGUAAAAGAAGAUGGAAUGAGCUUGAAGAAAACAAAAAGAAAAGAAAAAGAAAAAAAAAAAAAUAUCCGGAAAGAAGUUCAAUUCAAGUUAGUCAAGGAGAGUUGAUCAGUUAGUUUAAUAUAUUUCUUUGGGAUUUGGUCAUUUGUGCUUUCUUCCUGGCUAAGUGAAAAAAAAAGAAAGAAAGAAAGAAAGACAUUUCGGCAUGGACAAAACAUUAUCAGUCGUUGUCGUCGUCGCCAUCAUCUAAGGCAGUUUGUGUGACGGUACCUCGAUGAAAAACUUUCCUUCUGAGUUCUGAGGCCUGCUAUCCUCAGUUAAGGUCAAUGACCGAAAAAUGACCUGCAUCUCUUCGGAUUAAAUAAAUGGAUUGAUGGUAAAAUUUUGGAAGACUGACAGAGAAACAGAGAGAGAAGAGAAAAAAAAAAAGAGAGAUCUAAAGAACUAAAGAACUAAAAAGAAGAAGAAGAAGAAGAAGAAGAAGAAAAAGGAUAGAGUGAGGGUUACGAAAAUUUCGAAGAGGACGACUUGAUAAUGCAUCAGAACUCGUUGCACCUGUGGAGAGUACAUACUGAUUCGGGCUAACUCCUCUCUUGCGCUUACUUUCUUAGCGUAUGCAUUAAACGCACGUACAUCAGCCUGGGGCCCCAACAGCUUCUCUCUCUUUCUCUCUCUCUCUCUCUCUCUCUCUCUCUCUCUUCGGUUAGGUUGGUGCUCGGACUUGCUUGCACCGGCAAUCACGAUAAUCGUGAAGUUUAUCGAGAAGAAGCUUGGCUGUGAUUAACGAGGAUCGCUUUAAAUCUUCUGAGGAAAGGAAGACUACGUGAUAUGGUUGUGAUGGUAUUGAUGGUGUUUGUGGUGGUUACUAGUGGAUAGCGUUGUUUUCAUUGAAAUACAUGCCAUCAUUCUUUCUCUCUUUCUCUCUCUCUCUCUCUCUCUUUCUCUUGUUCACUCUCUGUCUUUCUUUUUAUCAACUGUCUCUUUUAUAAACCCAUGAAAUUACAAAUGAAUAUUCUUUACAACUUUUGUCAAUGUCAACAAAAAGAAAGAGAGAAACAAUGAAAGAGAGAAAGAGAGAGAGAGAGAGAGGGAGAACCGUAGAAACAGAUUCUAAGCGUUUCAAUUUCAACGUUUAACAUCAAUUCCAAGGGAAAUUAAAUUGAUUGACUUCAAUUGAAGUUUAAUUGAAUGCCAGCGGGAGAUAAAUUUCAUUGAAAAUUGCGACUGCAAUUAAGUUUUCUACUUCGAAUCUAUCACGACUACCUUUUUUAUUUUCCCUUAUGGAAAUAAAUGAGAAAUGACAAAUAAUCAAUUAUGCAUCGAAACGAUGAACAAUAAAUAAUGUCGCAAUAAUUUUUCAAUGAUCGUCAAUAUUCUUAAUGACGCGUCAUUGAUUUAUUUUACGUGUUAAACGUUAAGAGAAAAAAUAUUUUUCGAUUGUCGAUUGGAUCA